rnacentral:rRNA from 1 species
GAUGAACGCUGGCGGCGUGCCUAACACAUGCAAGUCGAGCGAAGCGAUUUGGCGGAAGUUUUCGGAUGGAAGCUAAAUUGACUGAGCGGCGAGGUCGAAGUACGCUAGGUAACGUGCUCAUACAGGGGAUAACAGUUGGAAACGGCUGCUAAUACCGCGAUAAGCGCACAGUUAACCGGCAUGGUACCGUGUGAAAACUCCGGUGGUAUGAGAUGGACCCGCGUCUGAUUAGGUAGUUGGUGGGUAACGGCCUACCAAGCCGACGAUCAGUAGCCGACCUGAGAGGGUGACCGGCACAUUGGGACUGAGACACGGCCAA